CGACCACGGUUGUAUUUCCUCUUAGCAAUACAACUUUCAUCAAUUUGUACAACAUGACCGGGUCCUCCAAGACGAAACUGAUCUGAACAAUUUAAUAUUUUCCAGGAACAGAUGUCAGUGAAAAAAGCAUAAUACUGGAUAACAGUGGCCUUUCGCAAUUGUAAUAAACCAGCUGUAGUACUAAUCCUAGCAAGAUUAAUGAAAUGUAGAGCGAGAACAAAUACUUUUUCAAAUGACAAAGACGUCGAUUCAAAAAAAUGUCCCAUUUGUUGCAGAUUUAGAAGUGCAACAUUUCAAACAUCUAAAACAAAAAACACCUUUUCAUGUAGAAUUACGGUUGAUAACCAUCAUUCUGCGACAUCCACGUUUAGGGCAGCGCAUAGUACGAUGCAAAAACCCAUUAUCUUGAAGGUCACGAAAUACUUCUCUCUCAGGUCGGUUAAAAAAUGAAUACAGUUCCUUCUCGGACUUAAUGGAAUCCAUUUUCCAGGAGCACGUGUCGCGCGAUAACAAAAAUUAUUGGAAUUUUACGUGAUUUCAAGAUUGCUGAUGAUAAUGAAAAAUUUUAUAGUUUUAUUAUUAUAAUUUGUAUGGCAAUUACUUUUACAAAUAAACUGUGAUAUUUUGGAAGAAAAAUAUAUUUUCGCGUCACGUGGCUGUCGAACGUCACGUGACUCGAAAAUAUACGCCGACAGCGACCUACGUCGCUGCCGCCGGCGUAUAUUUUAUAUUUCAUUUAUUUUUAUUUUUAUUAUAUUCCUUGUUUUCUAUUAUUCCUAAGACCAUGUUCUCUACUUCUAACCUGGUGUCUGGCGCAGU
rnacentral:lncRNA from 1 species